CCUACGGGAGGCAGCAGUGAGGAAUAUUGGUCAAUGGGCGCGAGCCUGACCCAGCCAAGUAGCGUGAAGGAUGACUGCCCUACGGGUUGUAAACUUCUUUUAUAAAGGAAUAAAGUGUGGCACGUGUGCCUUUUUGUAUGUACUUUAUGAAUAAGGAUCGGCUAACUCAGUGCCAGCAGCCGCGGUAAUACGGAGGAUCCGAGCGUUAUCCGGAUUUAUUGGGUUUAAAGGGAGCGUAGGUGGGUUGUUAAGUCAGUUGUGAAAGUUUGCGGCUCAACCUGACAAUUGCAAUUGAUACUGGCAGGCUAGAGUACAGUAGAGGUAGGCGGAAUGCGAGGUGUAGCGGUGAAAUGCGUAGAGAUCACGAAGAACACCGAUGGCGAAGGCAGCUUACUAAACAGCCACUGACAUUGAUGCGCGAAAGUGUGGGGAUCAAACAGGAUUAGAUACCCUAGUAGUC
rnacentral:rRNA from 1 species